rnacentral:rRNA from 1 species
GACGAACGCUGGCGGCGUGCUUAACACAUGCAAGUCGAACGAGAGCGUAGAGAAAGCUUGCUUUUUCUACAAUCUAGUGGCAAACGGGUGAGUAACGCGUAAACAACCUGCCCUACGGAUGGGGACAACAGCUGGAAACGGCUGCUAAUACCGAAUACGUUCCGAAAGUCGCAUGACUAUCGGAAGAAAGGAUGGCCUCUAUUUAUAAGCUAUCGCCGGAGGAGGGGUUUGCGUCUGAUUAGCUAGUUGGAGGGGUAACGGCCCACCAAGGCGACGAUCAGGAGCCGGUCUGGGAGGAUGAACGGCCACAUUGGAACUGAGACACGGUCCAGACUCCUACGGGAGGCAGCAGUGGGGAAUCUUCCGCAAUGGGCGAAAGCCUGACGGAGCAACGCCGCGUGAGUGAAGACGGCCUUCGGGUUGUAAAGCUCUGUUAUACGGGACGAAUAAUCUUGUGGUUAAUACCCAUGAGAAGUGACGGUACCGUAAGAGAAAGCCACGGCUAACUACGUG